rnacentral:rRNA from 1 species
GCCGGGGGGGACAAUUGUUACUCAACAUGACUGGGCGUAAAGGGCACUUAGGCGGUUUUCCCAGUGGUCUGUCAAAGGCGGAGGCUCAACCUCCGUGCGGCAUACCCUACGGGAAGGCUAGAGUCCGAUAGGGGGUGGCGGUAUUUCCGGUGUAGAGGUAAAAUUCGGCGAUAUCGGAAAGACCAUCGGUAGGCGAAGGCGGCCACCUGGUUCGGCACUGACGCUGAUAGGCGAAAGCGUGGGGAGAAAACAGG